rnacentral:rRNA from 1 species
ACCUUCGGGCCUCUUGCCAUCGGAUGUGCCCAGAUGGGAUUAGCUAGUAGGUGGGGUAAAGGCUCACCUAGGCGACGAUCCCUAGCUGGUCUGAGAGGAUGACCAGCCACACUGGAACUGAGACACGGUCCAGACUCCUACGGGAGGCAGCAGUGGGGAAUAUUGCACAAUGGGCGCAAGCCUGAUGCAGCCAUGCCGCGUGUAUGAAGAAGGCCUUCGGGUUGUAAAGUACUUUCAGCGGGGAGGAAGGGAGUAAAGUUAAUACCUUUGCUCAUUGACGUUACCCGCAGAAGAAGCACCGGCUAACUCCGUGCCAGCAGCCGCGGUAAUACGGAGGGUGCAAGCGUUAAUCGGAAUUACUGGGCGUAAAGCGCACGCAGGCGGUUUGUUAAGUCAGAUGUGAAAUCCCCGGGCUCAACCUGGGAACUGCAUCUGAUACUGGCAAGCUUGAGUCUCGUAGAGGGGGGUAGAAUUCCAGGUGUAGCGGUGAAAUGCGUAGAGAUCUGGAGGAA